GACGAACGCUGGCGGCGUGCUUAACACAUGCAAGUCGAACGGAGUGGCGAACGGGUGAGUAACGCGUAAUCAACCUGCCGUUGAGGGGGGGUAACCAGUUGGAAAGGACUGCUAAUACCGAAUACGGAUUGAGGGGGUUGCGUGUGAAUAGCUAGUUGGAGGGGUAACGGCCCACCAGUGCGAUGAGCAGUAGCCGGUCUGAGAGGAGUAACGGCCAAAGUUGGACUGGGACAAGGCCCAGACGCCUACGGGAGGCAGCAGUGGGGAAUUUUCCGCAAUGGACGAAAGUCUGACGGCGCAACUCCGCGUGAGUGAUGACGGCCGUCGGGUUGUAAAGCUCCUUUCAUCGGGACGCGGUACCGGAAUAGAAAGCCACGGCUAACUACGUGCCAGCAGCCGCGGUAAUAC
rnacentral:rRNA from 1 species